GAUGAACGCUGGCGGCGUGCCUAAUACAUGCAAGUCGAGCGAACGGACGAGAAGCUUGCUUCUCUGAUGUUAGCGGCGGACGGGUGAGUAACACGUGGAUAACCUCCCUAUAAGACUGGGAUAACUUCGGGAAACCGGAGCUAAUACCGGAUAAUAUUUUGAACCGCAUGGUUCAAAAGUGAAAGACGGUCUUGCUGUCACUUAUAGAUGGAUCCGCGCUGCAUUAGCUAGUUGGUAAGGUAACGGCUUACCAAGGCAACGAUGCAUAGCCGACCUGAGAGGGUGAUCGGCCACACGGGAACGGAGACACGGUCCAGACUCCUACGGGAGGCAGCAGUAGGGAAUCUGCCGCAAUGGGCGAAAGCCUGACGGAGCAAGGCCGCGUGAGUGAUGAAGGUCUUCGGAUCGUAAAACUCUGUUAUUAGGGAAGAACAUAUGUGUAAGUAACUGUGCACAUCGUGACGGUACCUAAUCAGAAAGCCACGGCUAACUACGUG
rnacentral:rRNA from 1 species